rnacentral:lncRNA from 13 species
AUGUCACGUGAUGACAGCGUAUCUCAUUCACAGGAAAUGUGUAAUUCCUUGGUCUUGUCCCUGAUAGUGUACGAUCCACACAAUACCCAUUUCACACUUCACAGAACCGACUGUAGUAACAGGCUGAUAAGGAUUCCCUUGGACAAAAGACAGGCUGGAUACAUCGCUAAUCAUGAAAUGUACGCUGGACUGAAAUCCCUAAUUGAGAGGAACUUAUGUAAACCAUAUUUUGUCACACCAACAACUUCCAGGAUAAGCAACAAUUCCUCCUCCAAGGUUGUUCAAGCAUAAAGCCAAAAACAGAUGGAGUGGAAUUGUUGAGAACCCAUUUUGAUAUUAAUAGUCAUAAAUAACCAUUUAUAUCUUGAUAGAAGAUGCACUUCGAUAAAGUUUUAGGAAUCCAGUAUAGACCUUUCUAAAUAGGCUCAGGCCUGUGUGUCGUGGUUUAGGCUUCUUAGCUUAUAGCGCUCACUGUAAAACACAUUAGCCUUGUUAGGAAAGCAUUGUUGCGUUUUGAGUAGCGACUUAGUCAAAAUGUGCUUAGCUAUGUAGAGAUCUCUUACUGAGGUGUUUAUUGUAGCCCCCAUUUAGAAACAUCCCUAAAUCAAAUCAAAUGUGUUUUUUGAGGGUUUACUUGCCUUUUGUGUAUCAAAUGUGAUGAAAUGACAUCACUUUGAGACUCAUCUAUUGCAAAUCCCUUGGGGCCUGAUUCAGACUUAGGAAAUGUACGCCUUACACACGUCUUUCCUACGCACUUCACAGUAGUUGGUAUUCAGUCUUGCCUUAUGAGGGUGCGGUUCCCUUGCGCGUGCCGAUACAUUUAAUUAAACCGCUGAAAACCCUCCCACUUGCUGGCCAAUAGAUUUUGUUGUGGAGUUUUCUUUCAAUAGGGUUUCCAGUACAUGUAUCUAAAGCUAUCCCUUUAAAUGUGGUGUACCUUUAAUACAAUUGUCUUGACGGACUCAUUCGAAUAUAUGGAUAGAACAGUUCAGAAUAUUAGGGAUCAACGAAAGAAAGCCACGUGGGCCUAAAUACACGCAUAUUCAUCUCCUUUUCAGCACCAAUUGGUAGAUCUUGUAUAAUCAUUUAGGGUUAGGAAAGUAUUUAUGAAUAAUCAGUUAUGAGGGAAUUAAGUCAAGACAAGGUUCAAAUAUGGCGUAUCUGAGGGCCUCCCAAGUGGCACAGCGGUCUAAGGCACUGCAUCGCAAUGCUAAAGGCAUCACUACAGACCCCGGGAAGUCCCAUAGGGCGCCGCACAAUUGGCCCAGCGUCCUCCGGGUUAAGGGAGGGUUUGACCGGUGGGGCUUUACUUGGCUCAUCGUGCUCUUGCGACUCCUUGUGGUGUGCCGGGCGCCUGCAGGCUGACCUUGGUUGUCAGGGUUUGGCGGGUCAUGUUUUGGAGGACGCAUGACUCGACCUUUGCCUCCCGAGCCCGUUGGGGAGUUGCAACGAUGAGACAAGAUCAAAACCUUCACCACACCUUCUUUUUUUUAAAUGUCCACCCCAAACAAAUAGCAAGUGAAUAACAUGCUAUUCUCAUGCUUAAGUUCAAGGUCAGAAUACCUGUAGAGAGAAAAGUGCAUGAAAAGGGAAUGACAUUCCCUACUACACCUGCUUAACUCGGGUCAGAAUUGCCCUGUUGUAGUGCAUUUCCAAUAGGCCUACCUAGGAACACUUGAUACAUGUAUAAAAAAAAGGCCUAUUGGCUAUCUCUAUUAUUAUUAUCAUCAAUGCUAUUAUUGAGUUGUAUGUGUUAGAUAGGAGCAGAUUGAAGAUUAUUAAAAUAUUAUUUAAAACGUACCUUAUUUUAAGGAUGACUGUAGUAUGGUGUCGCAGUAGAUAUGAAUUUAAACAAUAUUUUGUAAUAAUUUAAGUACUGCUGUACUAUUGCUUGGUUUUAGGACUUGCUUGUAAUUUUAAUAGAGAAAUGUCAUUUAUGGAAAUAAAAAUAGAAAGAAGUAUGAUGUAUGUUGUCUAUUUAUUCAGUACUUCAUCAUGAUUUAAUAUAAGAUGCACUGCUGGAACCAGCUCGUGUGUAUGUGUGUGUGUGUGUGUGUGUGUGUGUGUGUGUGUGUGUGUGUACAAUGCUGCGCUGUGCAUUUUCCUUGAACGCACCCGGAACAGGUUUUUGAUGUGGCUCUUGUCUUGAACGCAUUCUGUGAGUAAGAGGAGACAUAGGGAAAGUUAAAGGAGCAUGGAGAUGUCUUAAAGAGGAAAUGGGAGUCAGGAGAAGCAAUGGGAUGCAGAGUUUUCUAUGUUUGAGACGACAAGGGCGUUGGAGAGCUGUGGAGAAGAUAAAGUGUGUUAUAUGAUGUUUAAGCAUGCACUGGACAGUGUGUUGGAAACAGUGUUAGGGUUGUAUACCUGCUGGGUGGAAAAUGUGCAGUGAUAUUGCCAUCUGUAAAACUAGGUAAAGAUCCGACUAGGGCGGGCAGUUAUAGGCCUAUCGCACUUACAACCAACAUGUGUAAAUUGAUGGAAAAGAUGAUAGUGAGUAGGAUUAUGUAUUUCUUG